rnacentral:rRNA from 1 species
GACGAACGCUGGCGGCGUGCUUAACACAUGCAAGUCGAGCGGUAAGGCCCUUCGGGUACGACGAGCGGCGAACGGGUGAGUAACACGUGGGUGACCUGCCUCUAGCUCUGGGAUAAGCCUGGGAAACUGGGUCUAAUACCGGAUAUGACUCCACGGCGCAUGUUGUGGGGUGGAAAGCCUUGUGUGGCUAGAGAUGGGCCCGCGGCCUAUCAGCUUGUUGGUGGGGUGAUGGCUACCAAGGCGACGACGGGUAGCCGGCCUGAGAGGGCGACCGGCCACACUGGGACUGAGACACGGCCCAGACUCCUACGGGAGGGCAGCAGUGGGGAAUCUUGCGCAAUGGGCGAAAGCCUGACGCAGCGACGCCGCGUGAGGGAUGACGGCCUCGGUGUAAC